AUUGAACGCUGGCGGCAUGCUUUACACAUGCAAGUCGAACGGCAGCAUGGGUGCUUGCACCUGAUGGCGAGUGGCGAACGGGUGAGUAAUGUAUCGGAACAUGUCCGGAAGUGGGGGAUAACGUAGCGAAAGUUACGCUAAUACCGCAUAUGCCCUGAGGGGGAAAGGAGGGGAUCGCAAGACCUUUCGCUCUCGGAGUGGCCGAUAUCAGAUUAGCUUGUUGGUGAGGUAAAGGCCCACCAAGGCGACGAUCUGUAGCGGGUCUGAGAGGAUGAUCCGCCACACUGGGACUGAGACACGGCCCAGACUCCUACGGGAGGCAGCAGUGGGGAAUUUUGGACAAUGGGGGCAACCCUGAUCCAGCCAUGCCGCGUGAGUGAAGAAGGCCUUCGGGUUGUAAAGCUCUCUCGGACAGAAAGAAAUCGCACUUACUAAUACUGAGUGUGGAUGACGGUACUGUAAGAAGAAGCACCGGCUAACUACGUGCCAGCCGCCGCAGUAAUAC
rnacentral:rRNA from 1 species